rnacentral:rRNA from 1 species
AUUGAACGCUGGCGGCAUGCCUUACACAUGCAAGUCGAACGCAUCCUUCGGGGUGAGUGGCAGACGGGUGAGUAACGCGUGGGAACGUGCCCUUCAGUUCGGGAUAACCCAGGGAAACUUGGGCUAAUACCGGAUACGUGCGAGAGCAGAAAGAUUUAUCGCUGAAGGAUCGGCCCGCGUCUGAUUAGCUAGUUGGUGGGGUAAUGGCCCACCAAGGCGACGAUCAGUAGCUGGUCUGAGAGGAUGAUCAGCCACAUUGGGACUGAGACACGGCCCAAACUCCUACGGGAGGCAGCAGUGGGGAAUAUUGGACAAUGGGCGCAAGCCUGAUCCAGCCAUGCCGCGUGAGUGAUGAAGGCCUUAGGGUUGUAAAGCUCUUUCGUCCGGGACGAUAAUGACGGUACCGGAAGAAGAAGCCCCGGCUAACUACGUGCCAGCCGCCGCCGUAA